UAGGGAAUCUUCGGCAAUGGACGAAAGUCUGACCGAGCAACGCCGCGUGAGUGAAGAAGGUUUUCGGAACGUAAAACUCUGUUGGUAGAGAAGAACGUUGGUGAGAGUGGAAAGCUCAUCAAGUGACGGUAACUACCCAGAAAGGGACGGCUAACUACGUGCCAC
rnacentral:rRNA from 1 species